ensembl:snoRNA SNORD18 Small nucleolar RNA SNORD18
UCAAAAUGAUGAGAUUCCACUUCAUUGGUCCGUGUUUCUGAAAAACAUGAUAUUUGUGAGAAUUCUGAUUUG